GUUCUCAUGGUGUAGUGGUUAUCACAUCCGCUUCACACGCGGAAGGUCCCAGGUUCGAAACCUGGUGGGAAAA
rnacentral:tRNA from 1 species